rnacentral:rRNA from 4 species
CGACCCCAGGUCAGGCGAGAC